rnacentral:rRNA from 1 species
ACGAACGCUAGCGGCGCGCCUAAGGCAUGCAAGUCGAACGGACCCGCAAGGGUUAGUGGCGAACGGUCGAGUAACACGUAGACAACCUGCCUCCGCAGUGGGGGGUAACAGCCCGAAAGGGCUGCUAAUACCGCAUGUGGCCGGGAAGCGAUGCUUCUCGCGCUCAAGGAGCCAUUCGCUGGGAGAUGGGUCUGCGGCCUAUCAGGUAGUUGGUGGGGUAACGGCCCACCAAGCCGACGACGGGUAGCUGGUCUGAGAGGAUGAGCAGCCGGACGGGGACUGAGACACGGCCCCGACUCCUUCGGGAGGCAGCAAUGAGGAAUCUUGCACAAUGGGCGAAAGCCUGAUGCAGCGACGCCGCGUGGGUGAGGAAGGUCUUCGGAAUGUAAAGCCCUUUUACCGGGGACGAUUAAUGACGGUACCCGGUGAAUAAGCCCCGGCUAACUACGU